CACUGGCCCUACCGCUGCUGCCGCGGCGACGCCGUUCUCCUGCCAAGCGCGAGCGGAAGAAGAGCAUCGCCCGCUGGGAGCUCUCCAUGUGAAUGCGUCUGACACAGCUCAAGCAGAUCCCGUAAUUAGGCCCACGGUACACACCAAAUCAUCGGCAGAAGAUGGACCAGGAAGUUAGGUAGAAAAAAAACGGGAAGUCUUUAAUAAAAUUAAUUGAAACUAUACGUCCAUAAACACACAGCUGAACACAAAGUGCCCUUCUCCGGUCCUUCUCCCACUCCGUACUUCACUGGCCCCUGUCUCAUACUGAGGCUGACCAGGCUUGCCGUCCACGCCUUGUCGCUGUCCGCCGGUCGGAGACCAGGU